AACGAACGCUGGCGGCAUGCCUAACACAUGCAAGUCGAACGAGACCUUCGGGUCUAGUGGCGCACGGGUGCGUAACGCGGGGGAAUCUGCCCUUGGGUUCGGGAUAACAGUUGGAAACGACUGCUAAUACCGGAUGAUGACUUCGGUCCAAAGAUUUAUCGCCCAGGGAUGAGCCCGCGUCGGAUUAGCUAGUUGGUGAGGUAAGAGCUCACCAAGGCGACGAUCCGUAGCUGGUCUGAGAGGAUGAUCAGCCACACUGGGACUGAGACACGGCCCAGACUCCUACGGGAGGCAGCAGUGGGGAAUAUUGGACAAUGGGCGAAAGCCUGAUCCAGCAAUGCCGCGUGAGUGAUGAAGGCCUUAGGGUUGUAAAGCUCUUUUACCCGGGAUGAUAAUGACAGUACCGGGAGAAUAAGCCCCGGCUAACUCCGUG
rnacentral:rRNA from 1 species